GCGCCUGAAAGAUCAUUAAAAUUGUACUGUUUUUCAACAACUCUCAACUAAAAUUUGUAACGUUUCCAAUUCUACUGCUGGGUGCGAGUGUGCGCUCUGAGUAUAUACGGAGUGAAAUCAUUGGUGGUACAUGUGUGUGCUAAACGCGCGUGAAAAUAAUGGAUAUAAAUAUGAUAAAUAUGGUGACAAAGUGUAUUUUCUGCUUCAAGCUCUCGUCUUACGAAACCUAAAAAUAAUACACAAUAUUUACAGACUCGCAGAAUAAUCGCAACAGCCUUUCUAACGGUUGGAAAGAAAAAUCGUUUUUCCUUUUCCGUUGACCAGCAGAGUUGGACGACAUUUAUUUCGCUACAUUUCGGUACUCAAUUCAUUCUCAUUCAUUAAGACUUCAAACAGCCAUUAUCAGAACAGUUUUCAUAGUAAACGUCCAUCUCUGCUUCAACAGUGAUCGCAUGCAUUAUUUCCUCAAAUGUUCAGAUCCGAAAGUGAAUCAUCGAACGAUCCUCCAUGGAAUUAGGGAUCGACACGACAUUUGGAAAUUUGUGAGAUUGUCGCAAUUUCGAUAACGGUGCUACCUGGAUUAAUGUUGUAAUAGAAGUACUUCCACUGGUCCAACCAGACCUCAGCGAGCCUCGCAUUGUUGUGGUUGACUAUCUUGCUCGUACCACCGGGGAAAGUGUACGGCGUUGACUUACGGAAAACAUGCCCGACGUGAGAGCAAGUUGCUAUUUCCAAAGUCCCACCACACAUCCAUAUCUAACCAACUCAUUUCUGUUAGUAUGUUAGCAAUAUUAAGAAUGUUUUGUUGUUGUUAUUAUAGCAAAAAUGAGACGAACCAAAACGAACAAUGAAUUGCUAAAAAAUAAGAAAAAUGUUGAUCGACGUUUUAGUCUCUGUAAGGACGAAUGAAAAGGCAUCGAGUGACAUUUUUUAAGUUUCCUCGACGAUCAGCUCUGCUCCGAAGCCCAAACAUUGCCUGGGGCGCCACCUACAUUACUCGCCAAACUAGCAUUAUCGCAAAGUUAACAAAACAUGAAUAUGCACAUUCGCAAUGUAAUAAAGCACAUGAAUGUCUGAUGUUAGUCGAGUUGGAUGGAUGAGUGGUUAAGACGUUUCGCUUUACUGAUUUUAUCACACUUCUGUAUGCAAAAUGUUUAAUUAAUAUUUUUAUUGUAAAUAAAAUGGAUUAAUCCUGAAA